rnacentral:tRNA from 1 species
GGUGGCAUGCCAGUGAUGGUGUUUUGUGAAAUGGAAUUUUUCGGGGUUGCAUCUGAUCAUUUGCCACCU